ensembl:snoRNA
UAGGCACCUAAAGAAUUAUCUUUCUAUGGUCUUUUGGCCAUUUCAGAACUUUGGAAAUGUAAUGGUAAAUUCAUUAGAAAGAAACAGUA